rnacentral:rRNA from 1 species
UACGUAGGGGGCAAGCGUUGUCCGGAAUCAUUGGGCGUAAAGGGCUCGUAGGCGGCCAACUAAGUCAGACGUGAAAUCCCUCGGCUUAACCGGGGAACUGCGUCUGAUACUGGAUGGCUUGAGAUUGGGAGAGGGAUGCGGAAUUCCAGGUGUAGCGGUGAAAUGCGUAGAUAUCUGGAGGAACACCGGUGGCGAAGGCGGCAUCCUGGACCAACACUGACGCUGAGGAGCGAAAGCCAGGGGAGCAAACGGG